rnacentral:piRNA from 1 species
UAGUAGGCUAAGCAACACAAGACCAAGCGA